GAAACUUUUCUAAACCCAAUUUUCAACAAAACUCUUAUCAGGUUUAUUCUUCUCAAAUCUUCCAUUCUCCUUCUCAAACACUGAAACCCUAACCUUCUCUGAAACAAAGUCUUCCCAAAUAUUCCCUUAAUCAAAAUCCCAAAUCUUCCCUUGAAAGGAAAACCCUGAAACAAAAACUUCCCUUGAAUUCUCAACGGCAUGGCAAAGAAGGAGAAGUCGAAAGCCAAUCAACAGGGUACGAACAAGUCAACGAAACAAGCGAAAAUCUCGAGGGUGCUUCCCCGCCAUCACUCAUGUAAAAUUCCGAAGAAGAAAAGUUCCUCGCUUUCUGCUUCACUGCCAAGAUGAACGGAGGUGCAUCUGGUUUCACAAAUGCUCCUGUUACAAGGGCUUUCAUCAUCGCUUCAGCGCUUUUCUCAAUCUUCUUUGGGAUCCAAGGUCGUUUCAACACUUUGGGCUUGUCGUAUCAGAUGCGGAGGAUCAAGCCGCAAAAAUUUCUGCAGAAGAGCAAGUGCAGAUGACGAACAUCCACACUUUGGAAAGCGACAUCAAUAUCAUA